rnacentral:lncRNA from 1 species
GGCGGGAAAGGCUGAGGCAGGGGGCGGGGAGGUGACGCGGGCAGAGCCGGAACGCGAAAAAUCCGUCGGGGGCGCGCACGGGCGCCGGAUCGAUCGCGGCCGCUGCGGAGCCGGGGCGCGGAGACCAACGCCUGCCCCAGCUGCCAGGAAACUGCCGCUUUCAAACCCGCCGCAACCUCCGCCUCCUGCCUCUUCCCUUCCCCCCGCCCUCGCCCAGCCCUCUUCCAGUGCCCCGCCCCCUCGCGGCGCCCGGCGCGCUGCCGUCACCGGCCGGGCGCUCGGGAACGAGCCCAGCACUCAACUCUCUCGCCGGGGAUUGGCCUGCGGCGGGCAGCGGGCGGGCCGUCGGCGAGAAUGAAGACCACUAAUUGGCUCUUAAUGACAAGAAGCUGGAGAAAUAAAAACAUGUUAAAAUUACAUUUUUAAUGAAGUGGCACUUGGAAGCCCGGACUUCUCCAAAGCAAGUAGUGGUGAUCUGCUGUUACCUGGAAACAACCCAUGUGUACCCAGAGGUGAGGAAGAUGUUUUCUGGGGAGUCAGAAUUAUUUACGACCUGACUGCUCUGUAAGGCAGGGAGGA